GGGAUUUGGCAUGGGGGCAACCCUGNUCCAGCAAUGCCGCGUGAGUGAUGAAGGCCUUAGGGUUGUAAAGCUCUUUCGGCGGGGACGAUGAUGACGGUACCCGCAGAAGAAGCCCCGGCUAACUUCGUGCCAGCAGCCGCGGUAAUACGAAGGGGGCGAGCGUUGUUCGGAUUUACUGGGCGUAAAGGGCNCNGCAGGCGGUCUUGAAAGUCAGGCGUGAAAGCCCCGGGCUUAACCUGGGAAUUGCNCNUUGAUACUCUGAGACUAGAGUACGGGAGAGGAGAGUGGAAUUCCCAGUGUAGAGGUGAAAUUCGUAGAUAUUGGGAAGAACACCAGUGGCGAAGGCGGCUCUCUGGACCGUAACUGACGCUGAGGCGCGAAAGCGUGGGGAGCAAACAGGAUUAGAUACCCUGGUAGUCCACGCCGUAAACGAUGUGCGCUAGACGUUGGAAGGCUUAGCCUUUCGGUGUCGAAGCUAACGCGGUAAGCGCACCGCCUGGGGAGUACGGCCGCAAGGUUAAAACUCAAAGGAAUUGACGGA
rnacentral:rRNA from 1 species